AUGCCUCGGGGUCAGAAGAGUAAGCUUCGCGCCCGUGAAAAACGCCGCCAGGCUCGACAAGAGUCCAGUGAUCGGGUGGAAGCUCAGCCCACUGAACCAAAGGAAGAAGAAUUCCCUUCUUCCCCAUCUCCUUCUUUUGAAGAUGUUCCCCAGAGCUCAGCUGCCACUGGAACAUCCAGCAGUCUUCAAGUGCCUGGCAAAAUCUGCUCCACCACUGUUGCUGCCUCUGUUUCAGAUGCAAAAUUUAGUGAAGGUGCCACUGAUCAAGGAGAGGAAAAGCCAAAAGUCUCUCAGAGUCAAGAUACCACUAAGCGCUGUCCCAAAGAUCCUGUAGACAAGAAGGUUGCUUUGUUGGUGAAUUACCUUCUGAUCAAGUAUCAAAUGAAAGAGCCUGUGACCAAGAGAGAUAUGCUGAGAAAUGUAAUCCACAAGUACAAGAAUCACUUCAGUGAGAUCCUCAGGAAAGCCUCUGAGCAUCUGGAGCUGCUGUUUGGCCUCGACGUGAAAGAAACGGAUCCCAACAAGGGUACUUAUGUCCUUGUCAAUAAAAUGGAACUGGGUUCUGACGAAAAGCUGGGUGAUGACAGAGAGAUUCCCAAGACUGGUCUGCUGAUGAUUGUCCUGGGUGUGAUCCUCACGAAGGGCAACUGCGCCACUGAGGAGCAAGUGUGGGAAGUGCUGAAUAUGAUGGAGUUAUAUGAGGAGAAGAAGGACGCCAUCUAUGGGGAUGUGAAGCAGCUCAUCACCAAAGAUUUAGUGCAGGAAAAGUAUCUGGAGUACCGCCAGGUGGCCAAUAGUGAUCCUCCACGCUAUGAGUUUCUGUGGGGCCCGAGAGCCUACACUGAAACCACCAAGAUGAAAGUGCUGGAGUUUGUAGCUAAGAUCCAUGAUACGGUCCCCGCUGCCUUUCCAUCCUUGUAUAAGGAGGCUUUGAGAGAUGAGGAAGAGAGAGCCCAAGCUAGAGCUUCAGCCAGGGCUCAUACUGCUGCUUUGGCCAGUGCCCGCUCCUGGGCCACAGCCCGCGGCUUUUCCUGCACCAAAUGA
rnacentral:lncRNA from 1 species